GAGUUGAUGGCUGCUCCAAAACAUCUCCAAUAUCCGUGGAUCCUUGAGAAGUCCCAGGAGCAGAGCCUGGGUCCUCCAAGCUUCCAAUGUGGCUGUUAGCAGUGCCAAUUAUUGGCAUGGAGACAAUAUUUAAAUUGCCUGAUGAUUCAGGAGGACUUGGUGAUUUGUGUGGUACAUGGCUAGGUUUGGAAGUACUUCCAGAAGAAGAAGACACAUCCAAAGGGGGACCAGAAACAAGAACAUAAUCUUGAUCUAUCAACUCCAAUG
rnacentral:misc_RNA from 1 species